ensembl:snRNA U6 U6 spliceosomal RNA
CCAGCGCCCGGCUGCAUUCCUGAUUUUUGAUACAGAGAAUAUUAGCAUGGCCUCUGUGCAAGGAUGACAAACAAGCCCAGCUAACCAAAUUUGU